CCAAGCCCGGGGAGGCUUUCCCUCUGACUGACCCCUCGGUGAUACACUGGGGUGGACAGAGAGACAUGAUGACCAUGGUGGCUGUGAAGCAAUCCUGACAGUAACUGACUUCCCCUGGGGCUGCCAACCCUGCUACACACACACUGACCGGAUGCUCGUCAGUGGCUACCUGGUGCCAAUCAAAGGCCAAAGGACAGGAAGAAGGGCCUCUACCACUCUGGGGACACGUGGG